rnacentral:rRNA from 1 species
CCUANGGGGGGCUGCAGUGGGGAAUUUUGCGCAAUGGGCGAAAGCCUGACGCAGCAACGCCGCGUGAGUGAUGAAGGUCUUCGGAUCGUAAAGCUCUGUCGGUGGGAACGAUGCUUUCGCUGGCCAAUAUCCAGCGGAACCGACGGUACCCGCAAAGGAAGCACCGGCUAACUCUGUGCCAGCAGCCGCGGUAAGACAGAGGGUGCAAGCGUUGUUCGGAAUCAUUGGGCGCAAAGGGCGCGUAGGCGGCUUGGCAAGUUGGAUGUGAAAGCCCCGGGCUUAACCCGGGAAGUGCAUCCAAAACUGCUUUGCUUGAGUGCUGGAGAGGGUGGCGGAAUUCCCAGUGUAGAGGUGAAAUUCGUAGAUAUUGGGAGGAACACCCGUGGCGAAGGCGGCCACCUGGACAGACACUGACGCUGAGGCGCGAAAGCGUGGGUAGCAAACAGGAUUAGAUACCCGGNUANUC